AUCUCUUAGGAGAUGUUUGGAAUGAUACAAAGAUGAUUAGCAUGGCUUUUACACGAGAAUGACACGCAUAAAUAAAGAAAUAGUCAAGACUUUU
rnacentral:snRNA from 1 species